CUCAAAAGUUCUCUGGUGCUGAGGACACAUUUUAUUUUCUCAAAGGAACAAUAGUAUAAAUUGAGUUUUCUACACAAGUCUACAAAAAUACCAUUUUGUGCCUCAUGCAUACCCAGCUUGAGGUAAGCACUAUUCAUUGCUGCCCAAUGGCUGGUACAUCACCCCGCCCCUACUUACCUGGAUUUCAGGAAACAUAUACUCUGGUGACUGCUUUAUUGGCUGAAGGGUGAUUGGCCUAUAUGAGUCCUGGUAAUCUUGUCCACCUUCCCCAAACACUGGGCUAGGGAUACACAUGUGAUCCACUUCUGGUCAGUGAGAUAUGAGGGGGCUUCCCAUGUGAAUGAAACACAAAGCCACUAGAAAAGAAAGCCUUUGUCCCCACUCUGAUUCCUUCUUUGAGACAACGUGGUGCCUGACAUGGUGGCAGCCAUCUACUGCUGAUGAGGUGACAAGCAUGAGGAAAGACCAGAAUGCUGGGGACAGUGGAGAGGAAGGAUGGACAUGGCUGAAUUGCUGAAUCAACUACCUACCUCCAGACUCCUUGUUAAAUUAGUUAUGGAUUAUUUGCUUAGACAUUUCUUGGAGUAGUUGCGACAGGACUUCAGAGUAACUCACCGGAGACCACCUGGAAUCUACACUGAACUGGCACUUGAUACCACAGGGGCCCAUUGCACCCCCCAGAUCACUGCAUUCUUCAGGUGACCUUGGCUCAAGAAAUCGCCAUGGAAGAAGAGAAGCAGAUAUGGCAGUCAAAAGGGGGAAUUUUUGACAUCCCCUCACAGAUGUGGUUCAGGUCCAAUAAGAAACCCACAGUACCUAUUGGAGCGCAAUUACCACUGCUCCAGCAUAUACACCAAUUAACCCACUGGGCACGUGAAAAGAUGAUCUUAUGGGGAAAAGAGUACUUUUGGAAACUUUCCACCACAGUGGCCCAUAAAGCCUAUACUCAUUGUUUUAUGCCCAAAGUAUAAUCCAGGGAAACCACUUCAUGGAUCACAAGGCCACUUUCCCCUUCCUAAGGGAUCCUUUGGACUUCGUCCAAAUGCCACCAUCUCAAGGAUAUAAAUACGUCUUGGUAAUGAUCUGUGUGUUCUCAUAUUGGAUUGAGGCCUUUCCUUGCGGAAGAGCAACAGCUUUAGCUGUAGUGAGCUCCCGGGACACGAAGACCUUAAGGAUCGUGGAUUACAGCCUGGAG
rnacentral:lncRNA from 1 species